rnacentral:lncRNA from 1 species
AGAGAACCUGGGUAAGGUGCAGUUUGGGCAGCAGCAAAUAUCUGGCUUGAAUCAUGGCUGGAUGUUUACUGUAUUAUUUAGAAGGAAAGCUGGAGCUGUGAUGAUUCCUAAAUAGAAUAAGACAGGCUGACACAGACAUGAAGACUGGCAAGUCAGAAUAAGCUCCUGGUGACCUUGAAUCUACUUUCUGCUGCUGAGAAUUUACCUAUUUUGGAUGCUUCAUGAGACGAUUCCUCUUAGCAAAAGGGCACUGUGUACCCUCCAAGGCUGGAAAUGAUAGGUUUUCGGCGAGGAGUGAAAAUAUUGUGCUGACAGCCCUUUGCCUGUGUAGAGCAGGGUUGUUUACUCGCGCUGGAGCACAGCUUUAUUGAAGCAGAGAGUCAUGGUCCCAUCAUCAGGGUUGCCUAGCAACCAGUCUACGCCACUCCACAGAGUUUCAGAAUGGGCUGGACCACAAGUACCCACUUUGGGGGAUUUCCAGUGACAGUCCUACUCUCACUCCAUCACAUCGCUUCUAAAAUCUGAGUCACAUGGUUCAAAUUUCACAGUACAAAGUGUGUUCUUCAGAUCUGGGGUUCUCUCCAAAAUGGAUAAUCAUUAUUGAUUUUGUAAUGCAAUGCCAAGACCAUCAGUAAGGUUAUGUGAAGUUGGCAGUUCCCAAGGGCUUUAGGCUUGAAGCUGUGGGUCAUACCCCUUCGGAAACUUGGUCCCCAAGAGAAAUGUAUGCUUCUGAAAACCACAGGUGCAUGAAUCGUGUUUAGUAAAUGACUACUAAACUGAAAUCAGGACUUGUCUAUAUCUUGGCUUCUCAAACUUGAAUAUGCUUAUCAUCUGGAUAGCAAAAGCAUUCCUACACGUUGAGGCCUGCCAGCGUGGGUGUCACCCAGGAGCCACUCGGAAAGGCUCAUCGGAAACCACCCCGGACUGACUGAGGCAGAAUCUCUGGGGGCAGGACCCAGGCCUCAGCAUAAAAACUCCAGGUGACGGAAGAGCUCCCACCUAACAGGUGUGUUGGCAUUGUUGUAGGUGACUGACGUAGUUUCCCAUCUCACAACUCUACCUCCAUGAAGAAAAGUCAUGGAAAAUUGAGACUUUGGGCUGAGUGUGGCUCAUCCCUGUAAUCUUAGUGCUUUGGGAGGCUGAGGUAGGAGGAUCGCUUGAGGCCAGGAAUUUGAGGCCAGCCUGAGCAACAUAGUGUCUCUUCAAAAAACUAAGUUUAUUCUUUCCUCUUUUUUAGUUUUUAUUUUACACGGCUCACUGUGGCUUUGACCUCCCAUGCUGAAGCGAUCCUCCUAUCUCAACCUCUCAAGUAGCUGGAAGCACAGGCAUGCACCACCACACCUGGCUAAUUUUUUUCUUCCUUUUUUAAAGAGACAGUCUUGCCAUGUUGCCCAGGCCCUGUUGACCAGGAAAAAAAAAAGUUUUUUUUCUUUUUUAAAGAAAGAAAAUAAAAGAGACUGAGAAACCACAGAAAUAAAGAAGCGCUGAUGACAAUGCCUGCUUGCUGAUGGUUACGAUGAUCAUAGCAGUGUGCAUUUUGUAUGCAUGAAGCCUGCGACUAAAUAAACGUGUGGGGAAAUAUUUGUAAGGAAAUAAGCUAUUAAUAAAAUAAGCUAAAAUCACAGUUGCUGGACUAUGACUGAUUUUUCCCCUUUCUCUCAUUUAAAAUUAAAUAUUUGUAUGACUUGUAUAAUAGAAAAAUACAUGUAUUCAAUCUUAAAAAGAUAUUCUUAUUUUACACUUUACGGGACAAAAGAGGUUGUAGGUUGGAAUGGUUCAGUCCCCUUGUGACAACUCAAAAACAGAGACCUUAAGCCUUUCUCAACCAAUGUUGCGGGACAAGCAGGCGUGUGAGGCGACAAUGCCAUUAGGGUAUUUUUUGGAAAAAUUUUAGUGUGAGAGACAAAAGCCAAAUUCAAACUGGCCUGAGCCAAAAUAGGUAGGAAAGGGAGAAGCGGAGACAGGGAGGAAGAAAGAGAGAGAACAGAAAGAAAAAGGGAGAAAUGUCGAAAGGCAAAAUUACAACACAUUUAGUUAAAUGAUUGAAUUGGUUUUUAUUUGUAAUUCAUGAAUUGGGGCAGCAUCUCCUCUAAAACUUUAGGAAAAGUGCUCUGAUGAGCUAAACAGAGAAGCUUGGCUUUAUAGGCAGAAAAGGGUGAAGAAAGCAGACACAGGGAACAAAAAGCAGAUUGGUAAGCUCAGGUUACUUCAGGUUACUUUCCUUAUAAAGGUUAAAGUAGAGGGGACUUCCUUAUCAUGCUGGCUACAACUGGCCUGUUUGGGGAUUUGCAUAUUAUCUCUCUCUGUCUUGAGUUCUGGGAAGGUCUGAUGACUUAGUUUCAGUUUGGUGAUAUGGAACUUAGCAUGAGUGACUCCAUCUUGGUUUGGUCUACUGGGGCCUCCUGCAGGAGCUCAGCCCAAAUCAGUGACCUCCUAUAAAUUUCAUUUAAUAGAAAAGGAAGGAAGGAAGGAAGGAAGGAAGGAAGGAAGGAAGGAAGGAAGGAAGGGAGGGAGGGAGGGAGGGAGGGAGGGAGGAAGGGAGGAAAGAAGGAAGGAAAGAAAGAAAGUUGCUUAUAAGUUGCUUAUAACUAAAAAGACCAGCUGGACCCAGGAGCUCUGAGGUUGCUUUCAGGCCUCUGUCCAUCUCUUAGUUUUCCAUCCUCAGACAGGCUCUGCCCUGCCUUACAGUCUAGCAUUGUUGGCCAAAGGUGACUGACUGGCCCAGCUUGGGCUAUAUGUCCUUCCCUGUGGCCAGAGAGAUGUGUCUCUGUGAUGGCCAGGCUUGGGUCACGUACUCCCUCCCCUACCAGAAUCACAUGAAAAGAGGGAGGAAGAGCCGCUUUCCACCAAAGGAAACUGAAGUGCUAUUGUCAGAGGGGUUGCUGGGCAGACCAAAAAGAUGACAAUAUCUGCUCCAAUCGCUCGGGUUGUUGGUGCUUGGCAGAUUUGCCCCUACGUCACUUUUCAGAUGUGGAUAAGACUGAAGGUGACCACAGGCUUCCGAGAGGAAAGCUGCCAAUGGGGGUGUGAGAGGAGGGGGAAUUCUUACUCACCAAGGUUAACACUGUGCACACUGUUCUCCGAGGAAGUGGGAAUUUCCACAUGGUGAGUUCCCUUCCCUGUACAAUGAAUUACUAUCUUGAUGAGAAACCCGUGGGCAGCUGGUUGAGAAGAGAAAGGUAUUCUCUGAAUGAGAGGGAAUUUACCACCUUCCUUUCAAUGGUGACAGUUUUUUCUGGUGUCACCGCAGGGUGUGGAUUGAUUCAUAUACAAAUAUACAUAUCUACAUAGAUGCCAUUCUGCUAGCCUCUGCAAAAUGCAUGCCUGGAGACCAUUUCUGCUGCCUAGGAGAUGUCAACUUUGUCACCACCACUCUCUCUCCACCACUCCCACACCCUGCAGGGGCCAGGUGUGUGGGUGGGGAGCUCCCCAGCUGGAGGCCAGAUUAGAGGUCUCUGUGUGGUGGGGAUGGGGAGGAUGGGGUGGGAAUGAGGUGGUAGGCCACUGGCAGUGGUCCAAGUUCCAUCCAGGAUCUGUCCUAGGCCUCUCCCCAGGCUGUCGCUUCCACCAUUGAAUUUCUAACCUGGAUCUCUAAGGUUAUGAAUAUCUCAUUCCCGCAUCCUGGGGUGCUCAGACAUGUCUCCCCUGAGUCUCUAGCUGGGCUCGUGGCUGUGAUCAUUGUCCUCAGAGUUCCAUCCUCCCAACAAAGGGACAGAAGAAACACAGGGCCCACUUUUCUGGAUUCUGAGUUGGAGCCAAGAAAUUCUAUCUGCUGCUUCCUUCCUGUUGAAUUAUCCCCCAAGGACCCCUUAGUCCCUCCAGUCUCCUCCAGAGGCCUAUAGCUGCCCCAGCUCCCCAUGAUGGAUACCUGGCUCUUUCCUACCCAGAGGAAAACGCAGGCCCUUCCCCAGCCCUGCACUGAACUCCUGUGAGUGGCUGAGGAGAUGAGGAGGUGUGAAGAGUGAGUGUGUUGGGGAGGGAGGGGUCCCCUGCCACCAGGUACCAAGGACUUCUGCCAGAUCACCAGAACUGACACCUGGUUCCACCGGCCAGCUGUGAAGUGUCGGCCCUGACAUCAACAGCUGACCUCCCACAGGGCCUAAGGAAACGGAAUUGUGGGUAAAUGAAACAUUUUAUUUAUUUUAUUUUGUUUUAUUUUUAUAAAUUUUUGGGGAGACAGUUUUGCUAUGUUGCCAAGGCUGGGCUUGAUCUCCUGACCUUAAGUGAUCCUCCUACCUUGGCCUCCUGUGCUGAGAUUACAGGUGUGAAUCACCAUGCCUGGCCAAGAAGUGAAUUUGUAAAAGACAUGAGGAAAGGCCUGGUGGAAAGCUAACAGUGAAAAAAAUUUUCAAUACUUGCUAUAGAAACUAAAGAAACUCACAAUAUUUUGCUCUCUAUUGGAUCAUUUCCAUCAACAUACAAAUAAAUACCUGUUAUUUUUUCCAUCUUUAAAAAAAUGCCUUCAUUAUAAGUGAUUCAACAAAUUAAUAAACGAGAAGGGAAAAAUCUUCUCUAUAGAAGAAUUCCAAAUAGCAUAUGUAGAUACUCUCCCCUCCAGGAAGCCGAGCUUAAAUCCACUCUCUUUGAGAGUGGACUGGAUUUAGUGACUCACUUCCAAAGAGUAGAGUAUGGAAAGGGAAAAUAGUAACUUUAUAGGAAAGAAACCCAGCAGGUACCUUGUUAACCAAAUGAUGAAGGUUAACAUCACCGCUGAUAAGUCAUGUUGCUAUCAUUCACCCGCUGAUACGAUCUCAUGAGAAGGGCAAUUCCCGACUGUGGUAUUCUUCAAAUCUAUUGAGUUAUAAGAAAACAUGAGAUAAACCCAAACUGAGGAACAUUCUACAGAAUACAUGACCAGUAUUCUUCAAAGCCCUUAAGGUCAUGAUAAACAAGGGAAGACUAAGAAGUGAUCACAGAUUGGGAUGACUGAGACAUGAUGACAAAAUGCAGAGUGAUAUCUUGGAACAGAAAAAAGACAUUAGUGAGAAAAUUCAAAAAACUCUGAUUAGAGUUGAUAGUUGGGCUAUUAGUUUUAUACCAAUGUGAAUUUCUUAGUUUUGACAAAUAUACGUGAGGGAAAGCUAGGCGAAGGGUAUUCUGGAAAUCUCUACCCUGUACUGUCUUUUCAACUUUUCUAUGAAUCUAAAGCUCUUCCAAAGAUAAGUCUAUUAAAAAAAUAACAAAAACUUCCUCUAAAAUUUAAAGACGGACAAUAUCAGGUGUUGAUAAAUCUGUGGAGAAUUUGGAGCUCAUACAUUGCUGGUGAGAAUGUGAAAUUAUGUAGUUAUUUUGGAAAACAGUUCGGUAGUUCUUAUAAAAUGAAAGAUACAUCACUAAAUGACCCAACGAUUCUACUCCUUGAUAUCUACCCAGUAGGAAGGAAAUGAUGUCCGUACAAAGACUUGUAUACAAAUAUUCAUACCAUUUUUCAUCAUAAUGGCCCAAAACUAGAAACAACUCAAAUGUCCAUCAACAAGUAAUGGGUAAUCAAAUUGCGGUAUAUAUAUACAAUGAAAUAUAACUCAAUAUAAAGUAAGAAACUACUCAUAGAUACAGCAACAUGGAUAUUUCUCAAGUAUAUGCUGAGCAAAAAAAGCCAGACACAGGAGCACAUCCUAUAUGAUUCAAUUUAUACGACAUUUUAGAAAAGGCAAAACUAAUCUCAGAGACAGAAAGCAGGUCUGUGGUUGCCUGGAGCUGCGGAUUGGGGAGGGGAUGAUGGGAGAGAUUGACAAAAGGAGCACAAGGAACCUUUUGGGGUGAUGCUGGUAAUAUAUAUCUUGAUUGUUGUGGUGGUUACAUGGAUGCAUACAUUUGUCAAAAAUCAUUAAACUGUAUACUUCAAAUUUAUUAUAUGUAAAUUAUGCCUUAAUAAAGUUGAUUUUCUGAAAAGCUUUCUUUGAUCCGUUUACCCUGCCAGCUCCCCUUUUGCAAGACUCCUGAAAGAGCUGCUGAUACUCACUGUCUCCACUUCUACCCCAUAUGUUCUUUCUGAAGCCCACCCCAGCCAGGCUUCUAUUCCCAUCAUGCCAUGGAAACCAUUCUCAUCAAGGCGGCAGUGACCUCCGUGUUGCUAAAUCCAAUGAGCACUCACCACUUUCCAGUACAGUAUAUUAUUCAACCUGCUUGUUUAUUUUGUUUACUUUUCAUUGUCUAUCUACUCAAAGGCAGGAAACUGCUUUGUUCACGGCUGUAUCCCAAGUCCUAGAGUAGUGCCUGGCCCGUAGUAGCUGCCCAGUAGGUACUUGUUGAAUGAAGUAAUAAAGUUUCACCAGCAAGAGCAAACUUCCUACCUCUGGCCUAUCAGCCCAGGUCUGAGCAGACUGAUCCAGGAGACGACAGAGAAAAGGUGGAUCUGGAGGGAUCCUGCCCUGUCCCAGGAUUGGGAGAAUUGAGAGAGGCUCCGGAUUCUUCUUCAUUGUCUUUGGUUGUGCCUCGUGACCUCAGACAGACCUGGGCCUCUGGUUCGCUAGGCUGCAGCUGUGUGCUCAGAGCCACUGCCCACCGCUUAACGUCAUAGUUCUCAGGGGACCUUCCAGGAAUACUCAGAGGACAUAUGUCUGUGACUGCACUGUCCAGGGUACCAGCCACUGGCCAUGUGGCUACUGAGUACUUAUUUGGCCAGUCCCAAAUGAGAUGUGUUGAAACUGUAAAAUUUCAAAGACUUAGUACAAA